UUUAAAAAAAAAAUGUUUUAAAUUAUAAAUUUAGACUAGAAAUCUUUCUGGUGAUGAAAACCAAUGUGUGAAUAAAUCAGGCAGGGACAACUUUACACAGAAAACUGAUAACCCAGCACUCUUACUCACCCAUAAUAAAUCCAUACUAGCAGGAAAUAUUGAAGGUCAGACAUAUGCAUUUCUACAAUUUACUCUCCCACUUUUAAUAUAAAUAAUUUUAUUACAUACAUAAAAUGGAGUGGCAUCUGGAUAAAAUACACACAUUCUAUAGAGCAUUUUACCAAUCCAAUGAACAUAAAAUAAAGCCCCCAAAGACGACAGACUGCUUCAUUUGGCCAACUAACAUAAGACCUUUAUUUUCAGGGAUCUCCACUUCUCCUCACCAAUUUCAAAUCAUCUUAGAUGUAUAUUCCCCUCAGGCAAGCUCUUCAGUUGAGGCUGAAUUUUAAAAAUUCCAUGCUUACAUAGGCAAACAUUAUAUAACAUCUACUCCCAGUAGGUUAACUGAUUUAUUUCUUCACCCUUCCAAAAACAUUUCCUGAGGACUGACUUUUUUUUUUAACAGGUGAGAAAAAACCCCAAACUGUCAUGAUAUACUAACCCCCAUUCCCCCCUCCCCUUUUAAUUCCCUACCCUCUCCCAGCUAGGACCUGCAUCCACAGUACCAGAAUGCAGCAGACAGGUCAAUAUUUUUUAUUUCUGUGCUAAAACAACUUUGCCUGUUUAUAAUAUCAACUUACUUUACAGGCUUCACUGUAUUUUUAAAGUUUUAUAUUUUUUAAAAAAUAAAUUUCAAGCUAAAACACCUGAAAUACACUCAUUCCUUUCACACUGUAUCUGGUCCCUCUUAAAAUCUGUCUGCCCCUGAGGACACAUACAAAGGCUUAAGUUACAUUCACUAAUUAAUGUGAACUUAUCAUAAAGCAGAUGAGACAGAUGGAAUUUCAGCACCCUGUUUAAUUUAUUUGAAAUCCUUCCAAACUGACUCAGCUUAAUGAUAUGUUCAAGCCCCUCUCCUAAUCAAUGAGUCUACAAAGUGAAGGAAACCAGUUCCUAGUACAUAUAUAGUCAAUUGCUAAAGUCAACAUUAACAAUAUUCAGGAUAUAUACCUAGGUCAUCAAUUCAUCUUCAUUGCUGUCUAACAACAACAACAAAAAAUUCUAGUUGUGCUUUUUACAAAUGAAUGAAGAAAUUAUUCCAUGCACCUUUUGCCUUUAUGUCAAUAAAUUUUAUUUUUUCACUUGCAUUAGGCUUUUAAAAUUAUAUAAUCAGAUUUAGAUUCAACACAACCAAGUUGGAGUGAAAAAAAAUCAGCAUGAUAUUUUAUUUGGUUUACACAAUGACAAAUGCUUUUUUUUUCUCCAGUCUCUUAACUUAAAUGCAAUUGAGAUGGUUGUUUUGGUAUUACUUUGACAAUUUUAAUGUAGAGGAAAAGUUCCACCAAAUUGGGGAGGAGGGGUUGAGGGGGAAACAAUUUUAUCAGAAAGGAAAAAAAAUUCAAUUUGCUACAUGUUGAAAGACAAUAAGAUAGGAUUUGAGCCAGUUUUCAUUUUAUUUAGUGGCCCUGAUAAACCUCCUACCUUAGCACCUAAAAAUCCAAGACUAAUCUUC
ensembl:lncRNA